rnacentral:sRNA from 1 species
CCCCUUCCAGAUUGGCGAUGUGACUCCAUCGACCAAUGUCCCGUCCGUGUGCGCCUAUGGCGCAGGCUGCCGGGGGGAGUUAGUUCGACUAUACGCGGUAAAGCACGACCUGGACGCGUCCCACCCCCCGA